AGUCGAGGGGCAGCAUGGUCUUAGCUUGCUAAGGCCGAUGGCGACCGGCGCACGGGUGAGUAACGCGUAUCCAACCUGCCUUACACUCUUGGACAGCCUUCUGAAAGGGAGAUUAAUACAAGAUGUUAUCAUGAGUAAGCAUUUUCGCAUGAUUAAAGGUUUACCGGUGUAAGAUGGGGAUGCGUUCCAUUAGAUAGUAGGCGGGGUAACGGCCCACCUAGUCUUCGAUGGAUAGGGGUUCUGAGAGGAAGGUCCCCCACAUUGGAACUGAGACACGGUCCAAACUCCUACGGGAGGCAGCAGUGAGGAAUAUUGGUCAAUGGACGAGAGUCUGAACCAGCCAAGUAGCGUGAAGGAUGAAGGUUCUAUGGAUUGUAAACUUCUUUUAUACGGGAAUAAACGAAUCCACGUGUGGAUUUUUGCAUGUACCGUAUGAAUAAGGAUCGGCUAACUCCGUGCCAGCAGCCGCGGUAAUACGGAGGAUCCGAGCGUUAUCCGGAUUUAUUGGGUUUAAAGGGAGCGUAGAUGGGUUGUUAAGUCAGUUGUGAAAGUUUGCGGCUCAACCGUAAAAUUGCAAUUGAUACUGGCAGUCUUGAGUACAGUUGAGGUAGGCGGAAUUCGUGGUGUAGCGGUGAAAUGCUUAGAUAUCACGAAGAACUCCGAUUGCGAAGGCAGCUUACUAACCUGUAACUGACAUUGAUGCUCGAAAGUGUGGGUAUCAAACAGGAUUAGAUACCCUGGUAGUCCACACGGUAAACGAUGAAUACUCGCUGUAGGCGAUAUACAGUCUGCGGCCAAGCGAAAGCAUUAAGUAUUCCACCUGGGGAGUACGCCGGCAACGGUGAAACUCAAAGGAAUUGACGGGGGCCCGCACAAGCGGAGGAACAUGUGGUUUAAUUCGAUGAUACGCGAGGAACCUUACCCGGGCUUAAAUUGCAACCGAAUAUGGCGGAAACGCUAUAGCUAGCAAUAGCGGUUGUGAAGGUGCUGCAUGGUUGUCGUCAGCUCGUGCCGUGAGGUGUCGGCUUAAGUGCCAUAACGAGCGCAACCCUUGCCGAUAGUUACUAACAGGUCAUGCUGAGGACUCUGUCGGGACUGCCAUCGUAAGAUGUGAGGAAGGUGGGGAUGACGUCAAAUCAGCACGGCCCUUACGUCCGGGGCUACACACGUGUUACAAUGGGGGGUACAGAGGGCUGCUACCACGCAAGUGGAUGCCAAUCCCAAAAACCUCUCUCAGUUCGGAUUGAAGUCUGCAACCCGACUUCAUGAAGCUGGAUUCGCUAGUAAUCGCGCAUCAGCCACGGCGCGGUGAAUACGUUCCCGGGCCUUGUACACACCGCCCGUCAAGCCAUGGGAGCCGGGGGUACCUGAAGUGCGUAACCGCA
rnacentral:rRNA from 1 species